GAUGAACGCUGGCGGCGUGCCUAAUACAUGCAAGUCGAGCGAACGGACGAGAAGCUUGCUUUUCUGAUGUUAGCGGCGGACGGGUGAGUAACACGUGGAUAACCUACCUAUAAGACUGGGAUAACUUCGGGAAACCGGAGCUAAUACCGGAUAAUAUUUUGAACCGCAUGGUUCAAAAGUGAAAGACGGUCUUGCUGUCACUUAUAGAUGGAUCCGCGCUGCAUUAGCUAGUUGGUAAGGUAACGGCUUACCAAGGCAACGAUGCAUAGCCGACCUGAGAGGGUGAUCGGCCACACUGGAACUGAGACACGGUCCAGACUCCUACGGGAGGCAGCAGUGGGGAAUCUUGCGCAAUGGGCGAAAGCCUGACGGAGCAACGCCGCGUGAGUGAUGAAGGUCUUCGGAUCGUAAAACUCUGUUAUUAGGGAAGAAAAUAUGUGUAAGUAACUGUGCACAUCUUGACGGUACCGAAUCAGAAAGCCACGGCUAACUACGUG
rnacentral:rRNA from 1 species